rnacentral:rRNA from 1 species
GACGUAGGGGGCGAGCGUUGUCCGGAUUCAUUGGGCGUAAAGCGCGCGCAGGCGGCUUGGUUAGUCGGAUGUGAAAAUCCGGGGCUCAACCCCGGACCUGCAUCCGAUACUGCCAGGCUAGAGGCAGGUAGGGGAGAUCGGAAUUCCUGGUGUAGCGGUGAAAUGCGCAGAUAUCAGGAGGAACACCGGUGGCGAAGGCGGAUCUCUGGGCCUGUCCUGACGCUCAGGCGCGAAAGCUAGGGGAGCAAACAGG